AUGUUCACACACACACACACACACACACACACACACACACACACACACACACACACACACACACACACACACACACACACGCACACACACACAUUGGCAGCUCUUGAGCCCAAGGUGCCAAGGGUUCAGUUUUUGGCAGGAUUUGUGCACGACGUCCCUAAGUCAAGCUCUCUGACCCCUCCUGUGCAUUGUCAUGAAAUUUUCUCCUUCACAGGUAGCUGCUUUCAAGAGUCCCCCUUCUCAAAGGGCAGACGCAAGGGACGGUCGCAGCGCCACACACCCAUUCAGCAUGCCACAAUCAGGCAUGUGCCUGCAGGCACCGGUAGCUAUGGGCCUUGGAGGUGGCUAUGUCACCAACAGCAAGGUUAAAUGUGAGCCACAUCCAAGCCAGUGCCUAAAAUUGCAGAUCCAGCUACCAUCACUGUCCAGUAAGGUGAAGGUGAGGCUCAAGGACCAGCUGCACAGCCAACAGGAAUGCCGGUGGAGGAGGCCACAGGCGAGUUAGCAACAGCCAUGCAGGUGCAAGCAACAGCAGCUGUGGGCCGGAGGUGGCUGUGUGGCCCACAGCAAAGAAGGGUGUAGGCAAUAGCCAAGCAGGCACCAUCAGCCGAGGCCUCAGCCUCGCAGGUGCCAGCAAUUAUAGCUGUUAGCCACGUGCUGAGGGCUGGAAGGAGCAACACAUACAAGCUUGCUUCUGAUUGAGAAAAAAGUUGUGCAUUAAGGCCAACAGCUGUUGAGAAUGACCUCCGAACACCUCACACACACACACACACACAAGGAUCCCAAGGCUGCUGAUUCCAAUUCACUUUCUGCAGGGUAAAGAGGCUCCUGCGCGAGGCAGCUUCAGCUUGGCUGCCAUUGUAGGCACUUACAGCUGCGCGACCCUUUCCUAUCCUAACUUAUCUUAUCCUUUCCUCUCUCCUUUCCUGCGUGAGGCAGCUUCAGCUAAGCUGCCCUUGUAGGCGUGUACAGCAAUGUAAAUUACACACACUUAGUCCCCCUUUCCUAUCCUCUCCUCUCCUCUCCUCUCCUAUCCCAUCCCAUCCUAUCCUAUCCUAUCCUAUCCUAUCCUAUCCUAUCCUAUCCUAUCCUAUCCCAUCCUAUCCCAUCCUAUCCUAUCCUAUCCUCUUUUCCGCAUGAGGCAGGAGCUGAAGAUGGAGAAGGAGAGCAGACAAUACCGCCCAGGCCGACCCCUCGCACUCACCUGCAUGCACCGCAGCUGCGCCUGCAUGUUGCCCCUCAAGCGCACCAUGUUGCGGCAGAAGAGCUGCGUCGGCAACACCACCACGCCCACCCUAUCGUGCCCUGGAAGAGCGACAUCCACGGUGAACCAGGGCGCACUUUUGUCCACCAAGGCGCACGGCAUGGGCAGCUCUGGCUGCAGAGGCAGCUCAUGCGCUUGCACAGGCAGCUGUAGCUCUUGCUGUUGCGGCUGUUGUGCCUGUGGCCCUUGCUGAUGUGGCUGUUGUUGCUGUGGCCCUUGCUGUCGUGCGGCAGUGUGCCUGCUUUGCAUUGGCGGCCGACCCAGAGCGAGCACACCUGUCACCUGCACCCAGAGAGUACGAAUUAAAAAAAGUUAUCCUCGUUGCUGUUGUUGUUGUUGCUGUUCAUGUUGAUGAUAAUCACGCUGUGGAGAUCUGCGUAAUGGAUUUGUUUUAUGGUGCAAAUAAGAAUGCCUCAGCAACGUGUGUGGAUUACAAUGUAAGGUUGGAGCAGAAAGGCAGGAUAAACCCCUGGACUGCAGACGGAGGAACCUGCCAUGUCCUGAAGGUGAAGAAGUACAGAAAAUAACAGCAGCAACAGCAGCUUUGCAAGCACGCAUCUGGCAGCGUUAGCGUGAGCACCAUGUGCAGUGUUUCUUGUGGUAGCAAGCAGACAGCUGCAUUAUGCUUCCAACCUACGACACACCCCCUUGGAGAGGGAGUUGCUGACUGGAGGAGCCGCAAUGUAAAAUGCACAUCUCUUGUUACUUCUGUAUCCUUCACUCUGCAUUCAUAGGUUGAAGAGCAUUGGAAGAUUUGAGUUGCAAGCCAAACAAGUUACCUUGCAUCACACUACGAGUAGAUUGGAAAGCUAGGCUGCAUCGCAUUGCAUGUCGUGAGCACCAACAGAAGCCCAUUCAGUUCCAGGACUGCCUAGGGCCAUUCCAGGACUGCCCUUGGCUGAAGCCUCCUUCCAACUCUGCCACACUCACUGGCACCGACAGGCUUACUUGCACUGGACAAAGCAUUCCAGUCAAAGCCAGUUUGUUCAAGAUAUUCUUAAUUUCUUGAAAUGUCCAGGGCGGGAAAGGGGAGGGCAGAUGCAGCAGGUGCUCCUGGGUUUGCAGAAGGGCAGCAGAGGUAGCAGAAGCAGCAGAGGCACCUGGAUUUGCAAAAGGGCAGCGGUGGCAGCCGAGGCUCCCGGAUUUGCAGAAGGGCAGCCGAGGCAGCCGAGGCUCUUGGAUUUGCAAAAGGGCAGCCGAGGCAGCCGAAGCUCUUGGAUUUGCAAAAGGGCAGCCGAGGCAGCCGAGGCUCUUGGAUUUGCAAAAGGGCAGCAGAGGCUGCCGAGGCUCCUGGAUGGGCAGAGCAUAGGUAGCAGGCACCAGAAGGAGGAAAAACUCUGUACAACACCAGCGUGCACGUCACACACACACACACACACACACACACACACACACACACACACACACACACACACACACACACACACACACACACACACACACUCACACACACACACACACACACACACACACACACACACACACACACACACACACACACACACACACACACACACACACACACACACACACACACACACACACACACACACACACACACACACACACACACACACACACACACACACACACACACACAC
rnacentral:lncRNA from 1 species